rnacentral:rRNA from 1 species
CGCCUCCUGCAAACAACGACGUAUAGGAGGUCUUGCCUGCCCAGUGACAAUGUUAAACGGCCGCGGUAUUUUGACCGUGCGAAGGUAGCGCAAUCACUUGUCUUUUAAAUGAAGACCUGUAUGAAUGGUGAAACGAGGGCUUAACUGUCUCCCUUUUCUAGUCAAUGAAAUUGAUCUGCCCGUGCAGAAGCGGACAUAAUAAUACAAGACGAGAAGACCCUUUGGAGCUUAAGAUAUAAAGAUCAUCUAUGUCAAUGGGCCCAACACGGCAACAAACUAAAUAGCAACUGGUCUUAAUCUUCGGUUGGGGCGACCACGGGAGAAAAUAAAGCUCCCACGCGGACUGGGGUAAACCCUAAAACCAAGAAAAACAUUUCUAAGCAACAGAACUUCUGACCAUUAAGAUCCGGCUACACGCCGACCAACGGACCAAGUUACCCUAGGGAUAACAGCGCAAUCCCCUUUCAGAGUCCAUAUCGACAAGGGGGUUUACGACCUCGAUGUUGGAUCAGGACAUCCUAAUGGUGCAGCCGCUAUUAAGGGUUCGUUUGUUCAACGAUUAAAGUCCU